GUAGUAGUCUCCUUGCAGGAAGCUUCCACUGGCCAAUUUGGGUAAUUUGAGCAUAAGAACAAACAAUUAUAGUAACAUAUUAAAACCCAUUAAGUAAAAUAGGAAUCCAUGAGUCCAUAUUGAUAUACAUAAAUACACAAUUAAAUAGAUGAAGAGAAAAAUUCUUCUUGUAGCUGCCCCUGACAUAGGAAGGGUUAAUAAUCACUGGAAAAAGCUUGCCAACAAACUGUGACCCGGAGGUGAGAAGGCCGGUUAGCCAAUGACGGGUAAGACCCCCUGGGGGGGCAACCUAAGCCAGGCGGCGGCCGCCCGGGGGCACAGAUGGAGAAACGAUAUCGAUAUCGGGCGCAAGAGGGACCGUUGCCUAAGAGACUUUGCCUGCUCUGAGAUAAAAAUAUAGGAGCACAGCAACAACAUGAUAAUAUCAAAACAGAGGCCAAGGGAGGGCUCCUUGAGAAAUCACUAAGAAUUCUUGGCAUUCGCUAAUUACUUCAUCCAGAACACCUGUGUAUGUUUAACAGAUGUAAGCUAUGUAUAUAUUGAAACGCUGGUUAUAAUAAACUCAGAGUGGCCAUCAGCCCUCUCCGCAUCUAUCCUGAUGUGUACAUUGGAUUGCGACACCGACAUAUGGUGACCCCGACGUGAUCCAAGAUCGGCGGCAUUAUUGCAGAGGAUGGCACAUCAGCUGCAGAAAGAUAUAUGGGUCAAACUCAGAACCAUAUGGCCCAACAAAGGCCGCAUGACACACAUCUGUUUUGACACAAUAUCUUGGCAAAGCGUGGAUUAAAACGUCCUUAUGCGGAUAUCUGGGAGGGCCCUUUUAUGGUUAAAUGUGGGAAGAGAGGAGCUCUUUGUGUUUUGACAGAUAAAGGCAUUGAGUGCAUUCCAUCAAAACGCACACGGCCUGCUCUGGAAUAACCGAAAAAUGGACAAACGGAUAAGUAAAUCAGUUUUUUUCUUUUUCCUCUUUUCUUCUCUAAUGCAUGUUGAGGUGAUUUCAGAGCAUGAGAAUCUCACAUAUUGGGCCUUUAUUCCUAAUCCUCCUCUCUCUACUCUGGUUACUUGGUGGCUUGCCAAUCCCCCUUUGUCCUCUAAUGAUUCUGAUUGGACAGGAGGAACCGGGGUACCCCGACAACAACAUACAGGCCUGCACCAAAAGGAAGAAGAACCUCUGGUGAGGUAUGCUAACAAUUCACCUUUUUGUAUGGUUUAUUAAAACAAAAGCACAACAUGUGUCGCCUUUCAGGAACAAAUGUAUUUUAUUACCAACCUAAGAAAGGACAACAGGCAGCCAAUGUGACAUACAUUACUGCUAUAUCAACAUCUUACGAAGACAAAAGUAAUGUCAUACAAGUUCCUUCCAUCCCAAUUUGCCAUCCAAAAACUGAUUGGUGUUACAAACAUUACUCAGUACAGUGGUCCCCUUGCCAUACAGCGUAUCCAAGGCAGGGCAACCUCUUUGGGGCCAACGUACUGAAUUAGGGACCUCAUGGACAUCUUUUGAGUGACAGUCAUACUUGGGCCUUCAACAGAUCAAGUCAGAAACCUAUAACAUGGAGCGAACACGGCCUAUCUGGACCCCUUUUACAACUAUCUCACAAUGAGACAGUGUGCAGCCCCCUCACAAAGGAAUAUGGAGGAUCGGGUUGCCUUUUAUAUCAGGACAAUUGUCCCAUGGCAAGUAUGGGAAUGAAACUGGCAAUUAUUUACUAACAUUGGUCAAAAAUGUUUCUCAUACCCUUAUGAUUUGUACCACCCAUCCUUAUGUGUUAUUAUGGGGAAACAGUGUCCCUGCUAUCCAAGAAUCUUCUGGUAUGUAUGUGGUUAAUAUUUCUCCCCCAUAUUGGCAUUCUGAUUGUUUAACACAUUAUAAUGUAACCUCAUUGAAUGUGACCUAUGUAAUGGUGUUAAAAAGAAGAGCACAUAUUUGGUUACCUGUUUCUCUAAAUCGGACAUGGUCCGAAGAGCAUGAUCUACAUAUCCUCCUUGAGUCCAUGAGAAAAUUAUGCCCUAAGCAGUUUUGGCUACGCUAAUCGGGUUCAUUGUGUCCGCGGUGAUUAUCAUUGCAUCAGCUGCUACAGCUACUACUGCCUUGGUUAACAGUGUUCAAACAGCCCAUAAGGUGGAGUCCGUCUUGGUAAAUAUCACUCAAGAAUUACAGACACAGGUGGAUAUUGAUAAAGGGCUAAUGUCAGGAUUGUAGGCAUUAGAGGCAGCAGUAGAGUGGCUGGGAGAGCAGCAAAAUGCAUUAUAUAUGCAUAUGAAACUAAAAUGUGACUGGCAAUUUACCAUGCAAUGCGUUACCCCCCUACUGUAUAAUAGCUCGCUGACAUCUUGGCAAGAAAUAAAAAAACAUUUACAGGGGGCAUUUAAUACCUCCCUGGCCAAUGACAUCACUGGGCUACAAGCUCGGUUAGAGAGGCAGUUACAAGAAGUACAUAAGGUGUUCUCUCAAAAAAUACUUUAAGACAUUGAAAAUGGGUUACACUGGCUAGAGCCCUCCAAUUGGUUCUCAGGCCUCAAUUUACGCAUAUUUGUUAAUGCUGGUGUGAUUUUGAUAUUAUCUAUGUUAAUAGUUUAUGUUUUACAUCUGCUGUGCUCCCUGAAAAAACAAAGUCAACAAGAGCAAGCAUUGGUUAUGAUGGGCCUUCUGGCCUCAGCACAACAUGAUGCCUUCCUUGCUUUAAAAAACAAAAGGCGGGGAAAUGUAGCUGCCCCUGACAUAGGAAGGGUUAAUAAUCACUGGAAAAAGCUUGCCAACAAACUGUGACCCGGAGGUGAGAAGGCCGGUUAGCCAAUGACGGGUAAGACCCCCUGGGGGGGCAACCUAAGCCAGGCGGCGGCCGCCCGGGGGCACAGAUGGAGAAACGAUAUCGAUAUCGGGCGCAAGAGGGACCGUUGCCUAAGAGACUUUGCCUGCUCUGAGAUAAAAAUAUAGGAGCACAGCAACAACAUGAUAAUACCAAAACAGAGGCCAAGGGAGGGCUCCUUGAGAAAUCACUAAGAAUUCUUGGCAUUCGCUAAUUACUUCAUCCAGAACACCUGUGUAUGUUUAACAGAUGUAAGCUAUGUAUAUAUUGAAACGCUGGUUAUAAUAAACUCAGAGUGGCCAUCAGCCCUCUCCGCAUCUAUCCUGAUGUGUACAUUGGAUUGCGACACCGACACUUCUUUAGAGCAAAAUGCCC
rnacentral:lncRNA from 1 species